CGUGUAGGCGGCUUGGCAAGUCAGAUGUGAAAGCCCUCGGCUUAACCGAGGAAGUGCGUCUGAAACUGCUGAGCUUGAGUGUCGGAGAGGAUGGCGGAAUUCCGCAAGUAGAGGUGAAAUUCGUAGAUAUGCGGAGGAACACCGGUGGCGAAGGCGGCCAUCUGGACGACUACUGACGCUGAGACGCGAAAGCGUGGGGAGCAAACAGGAUUAGAUACCCUGGUAGUCCACGCUGUAAACGAUGAGAACUAGGUGUCGUGGGUGUUGACCCCCGCGGUGCCGCAGCUAACGCAUUAAGUUCUCCGCCUGGGAAGUACGGCCGCAAGGCUAAA
rnacentral:rRNA from 1 species